AUGCCUACGGGGGGCAGCAGUGAGGAAUAUUGGUCAAUGGGCGGGAGCCUGAACCAGCCAAGCCGCGUGAAGGAAGAAGGCGCCAGGCGUCGUAAACUUCUUUUGUCGGGGAACAAAGGGCGCCACGUGUGGCGUUGUGAGUGUACCCGAAGAAAAAGCAUCGGCUAACUCCGUGCCAGCAGCCGCGGUAAUACGGAGGAUGCGAGCGUUAUCCGGAUUUACUGGGUGUAAAGGGAGCGCAGGCGGCACGGCAAGCCUGAUGUGAAAGCCCGCGGCCCAACCGCGGGACUGCAUUGGGAACUACC
rnacentral:rRNA from 1 species